GGAAUUUUCCGCAAUGGGCGAAAGCCUGACGGAGCAACGCCGCGUGAGGGAUGAAGGCCUCUGGGCUGUAAACCUCUUUUAUCAAGGAAGAAGAUCUGACGGUACUUGAUGAAUAAGCCACGGCUAAUUCCGUGCCAGCAGCCGCGGUAAUACGGGAGUGGCAAGCGUUAUCCGGAAUUAUUGGGCGUAAAGCGUCCGCAGGCGGUCUUGUAAGUCUGUUGUUAAAGCGUGGAGCUUAACUCCAUUUCAGCAAUGGAAACUGCAAGACUAGAGUGUGGUAGGGGCAGAGGGAAUUCCCGGUGUAGCGGUGAAAUGCGUAGAUAUCGGGAAGAACACCAGUGGCGAAGGCGCUCUGCUGGGCCAUAACUGACGCUCAUGGACGAAAGCCAGGGGAGCGAAAGGGAUUAGAUACCCCAGUAGUC
rnacentral:rRNA from 1 species